rnacentral:rRNA from 1 species
UACGUAGGUGGCAAGCGUUGUCCGGAUUUACUGGGCGUAAAGAGCGCGCAGGCGGUUGGAUAAGUCGAAUGUGAAAGCCCCCGGCUCAACUGGGGAGGGUCAUUCGAUACUGUCCGACUCGAAGGCAGGAGAGGGAAGCGGAAUUCCCGGUGUAGUGGUGAAAUGCGUAGAUAUCGGGAGGAACACCAGUGGCGAAGGCGGCUUUCUGGCCUGUUCUUGACGCUGAGGCGCGAAAGCGUGGGGAGCGAACAGG